rnacentral:lncRNA from 1 species
CAGGUUGGAGGAACAGGGACAGACAGUCUUGGCCGAGCUGAUUUCUUUCUCAGAAAAGUAAGUAGUCGAUUGCUAAAAGUUUUUACGAAGCUGGCGACGUGUGGGUAUUCCCAGGUGUUUAACUGUGUUUUGGAAAAUGGAGGAUGCAUGCUUUUGAGGAAGUAAAUGCACUUGGCUUUUCUUCCUCUUUACAAGAAUCUCCGACAUUUAAAUAAAUUCAAAUUUAAAUUUAAAUUUAAACUUGUCUAUUCAAGUUUCAAUAUAGGUUUUUGUUUUUGUUUUGGAGAGAGGAGGUGGAUUAAGGUAAUGUAGUUUACUUUUUUAAAUUGGAUUUAUUGGGGUAUAAUUUACAUAGAGCAAAAAUAAAAAUCACCCUUUGAAUCCUACAGUUCUUUGAAUCUUAACAAAUGUUUGCCGUUGUAUCAUUCAAGACUUAGAACAAUUCCAUCAAAACAAAAAACUUCCCGGGGCGCCUGGGUGGCUCAGUCGGUGAAGCGUCUGACUUCGGCUCAGGUCACGAUCUCGCGGUAUGUGAGUUCGAGCCCCGCGUCGGGCUCUGUGCUGACUGCUCAGAGCCUGGAGCCUGUUUCAGAUUCUGUGUCUCCCUCUCUCUGACCCUCCCCAUUCAUGCUCUGUCUCUCUCUGUCUCAAAAAUAAAUAAAUGUUAAAGAAAAAAAAAAUUAAAAACAAAAAAAACAAAAAACUUCCCUUCUGCCUCUCUGUAGUCAUCCCUUUCUCCAUCCCUAACUCUUGGCAACCAUUGAUCUGAUUUCUGUCUCUACAGUUUUGGCUUUUCCAGAAUAUGGUGUAAAUGGAAUUAUGCAUUUGGUAUCUUUUUGGGUUUGGUUUCUUCUGGGGUUUACCCAUAUUGUGUGUGUCAGUGUGUGUGAGUAUAGCUUAACAAUUCCUUUCUAUUGCUGAAUUGUAUUCUCAGUAUCAACAUACCAAGAUUUGUUUGUUCACCAGUUAAUGGGCAUUUGGAUUGUUUCCACUUUUUGGCUAUUAUGCAUAAUUAUGCUAUGAACAUUUGUGCACAGGUUUUUGUAUGAACGUAUGUAGUCAUUUCUCUUGGGUAAAUACAUAGGAGUAGAAAGCCUGGGUCACAUGGUAACCGUAGAAACUUUUGAAGAAACUGCCAAACUGUUUUCCAAAGUUGUGCAACCACUAACACUGUCCAAUUCCAGAUCAUUUUCUUCUCCCUGCAAAGAAACUCCAUAACCAUUAGCAGUUACAUCCCAUUCUCUCCUCCCCCUAGACCCUGGUAGCCACUCAUCUAAUUUAUGUCUCUAUAGAUGUGCCUGUUCUGGACAUUUCAUGUAAAUGGAAUCAUAUAGUAUGCAGGGUUUUUUGUUUGUUUCUUGUUUCUUUUACUUAACAUAAUGUAUUCGAGAUUCAUGUCUGUUGGAGCACGUAUCACUCCUUUUUCGUGGUUGAAUAAUAUUCCACUCUAUGGGUAAACCCCACUUUGUUUAUCUACUUAUCAGUUGAUGGACGCUUGGGUUGUUUUCACUUUUUGGCUAUUAUGCACAACGUUGUUCUGAACAUUUGUGUACAUGUUUUUGUGUGGAUGUACGUUUUCAUUUUGAGGGUAUCUAGCUGGUAUGAAAUUGGUGGGACAUAUGGUAAUUCUAUGUUUGCCUUUUGAGACAUUGCCAAUUGUUUUCCAAAGUAGCUGCUUCAUUUACAUUCCCACCGACAGUGUACGAGGGUUCCAGUUUCUCCACAUCAUCUCCAGCACUGGUUUUUGUCUUUCCUUUUGAUUUUAGCUCUCCUAGUGGGUAUGAAGUGGUACUUCAUUGUGGCUUUAAUCUAUCUUUCCCUAAUGCCUAGUGAUGAUAAGCAUCUUUUCAUGUCUUCUUGGCAGUUUGUAUGUCUUCUUUGGAGACAUGUCUAUUCAAAUACUGGGCUCUUUAAAAAACUGUGUUAUCUGUCUUUUCAUUAUUAAGUUAUGAGUCCAAAGGUGGGAGUUUUGAAUAUGGAAAAAGUUAUACACUUUUCAUUUGACGGUUUGAGCUUUUUGUGUCCUAUAGAAUCAAUAUUUGCCUGACCUGAGGUUGUAAAGAUUUUUCUCCUAUUUUGUUUUUUUUUCCCUAAAAGCUGUAUAGUUGUUGGUUUUACAUUCGGGUCUAUGAUCCAUUCAAGUUGAAUUUUGUAUAUGAUUCAAAGUACACAUCAAGGUUCAUCUUUAAAAAUAUAUAAAUAUAAAUGAAAAAAUAUAUAAUUGUUUUAGCACUAUUUGUUGAAAAUAUUCUCCAUUGACUGUUGAUUUACCAUGACAUCUUUUUCCACACACUAUCAUUGGUAUAGGUCUCUCUAUAUACCGAUAUCACAGUGUCUUAGUUAUUGUAGCUCUUAUGGUAAAUCUUAAAAUUAGGUUGUGUUAUUCCUCCAACUUUGUUCUUCUUUAUCCAAGUUGUUUUAUGUACUCUAGGUCCUUUGUUUUUAUGUACAAAUUUUAGAAUCAGCUUGUUAAUUUCUUUUUUUUUUUUUUAAAGCCUCCUAGGGUUUUGCAUUGAAUGUCAAGAUCAAUUUGGAGAGAACUGACAAUUUAACAAUAUUGAGUUUUCUGAUUUAUGCGUAUCUCUUUGAAGAGAUAAUGUUUAGAAAGUCUCAUUGUUUUGCUCAGUUCCUAUAUGUUUGUUGCUCAUGAUUGACAAUUAGUCUAAGUCCAAAGUGACCGUUCCCCUCUUCUUGCCAAGGUUGGUUCAGGAAUGGGCUUGUGACUGAGUUCUGGCCAAUAGGCCGGAGGAAGAGUUCUGGGAAAGAUAUUUCUGUCCUAAGAAGACUCCGGAAGAGAGGCCCUUUUCUUUCUCUGCAUGUUGUAAUGUCUAGAUAUGACAGCAGGAAUUGUUGCGGUCAUCUGUGAGGGGAAUCAGAACGAGGGCAAACAGUCAGCCUGCAGAAGAUGACAAAUCGAAAAGACAGAGAGGCCCUAGACCUUGAUGAUUGCGCGAAGCCAGGGAAAUAAUCAACCUUGGAGCCUAGGAGAAAAAGAUUUGCAUGACAGCUCAAGUCCAUAAGAGUUGGGGUUUUCUGUUAUGUGUAGCAGGAAUCAUCUUAUCUAACAUGUCUAGUCUUAUCAGCUGCAACACAUUUCUGAAAAAUCACAGGCUAUAGAUUUUCCACUUAAAAAUAUUUUUAGUUUAUGUUCCCACUGUUUAUUUAAAAUGUGCACAUUGUUUUUUAUUUAUUUUUAUUUUUAUGUAUUAACAAUUUUUUUAAUGUUUACUUAUUUUUGAAAGACAGAGACAGAGUGCGAGUGGGGGAGGGGCAGAGAGAGAGAGAGAGAGAGAGAGACCCAAUCCAAAGCAGGCUCCAGGCUCCCAGCUGUCAACACAGAGCCUGAUGUGGGGCUCGAACUCCCGAGCCGUGAGAUCAUGACCUGAGCCAAAGUCAGAUGCUUAACUGACUGAGCCACCCAGGGGCCCCUGCAUGUUGCUUUUUUUAAAUUUACGAAUUCAAUAUAUGAAUUUAGUCUCAUUGUAAAGAUACAAACUAUACACACCUGAUUAAUAUAAAAAGUCAAAGUUUUCCUCCAGCCUUCCCUUUCCCCCAAGCUAACCCAAUACCCUUUCUGGAAAAUAACCAUUAUUGUCAGUGUGUUGUGCAUCCUUCUGGAUCUUUUUCUAUGAGUGAAAGGGACAUAUAUCAGUAUAUGUUAAAAACAUAACUUAUUUGGAUAUUUAGAGGCACAGGUGAAUGAAUAUUUAAAUUUGCAAGGGCUUUUUAAAAAACAGAAGAACUUUUGCCUUAGGUGUAUUGAAAUUAUUCUAAAUAUUUUUCCUUUUAUGGGAAAAACAUAUUGAGAUACACGUUAUAUAUUAUAGCUCACAAUCCAGUAGAGAGUCCUGCAAUAAUUUUCUGGCAACCUUUAAAAAAAGAUAAAAAUGUUUAUCUGAAAAGAAAUAUACUGAUGCCAUUGAAUGCUGGUCGAUGGUAGUUAUAAAGUACACACUCAGCGUGGACGACACAGCCAGUGUUGUUAAAAUUACACUCUUCCACCUGUUGUGAUGGUUGUUCUGUUGCCUCCAGUACACUUUUCUUCCACCCGUAAAGUCUAGGGCUGUGACUUUAAGUGAAGGGGCUAGUAAAAAAAAAAAAAAAGUGUUUCACCAUGUUGGAUAACAUGACUGCAUGAGUCAGAGCUACCUGGACUAAAAAACUAAAGUCAAUAUUGAAAGAAAUGUUCAUUAUUUCCUCCCAAACUCCUGCAAUCCCAUUCCCUGAAUUAAUUACCAUUAAUAAUUUUCUUUAUCUUCUUUUAUGCUGGUGUGUGUGUGCGUGCUGGGAUGUGUGUGUGCGUGUAGAAUGGAGUCAUAUGUUACUCUUUAAGUUAGGAUACAGGUUUGAAUCCAUAAUAAAGCCCCAAAAUAACAGUGGCUCUCACAGGAGAGAAGUUUAUUUCUUGCUCAUGAAAGAGUCCAGUUAUAAGCAGUCUAGGAGGUAUGGACUUGUCACAGUGUCAGUGACACAGGGUCCUUCUGGCUUGUGCUGUCAUCACCAGGUAUCUUGCUCACCUACAAGAUUACCACCAUUUCUUCACUCCCACACAAGGAGGGAGUGAAAAUCCAGGGGAAGGCAUUUCCCUUUAAAGAGCACAACCAGGAAGUUGCACAUAACCGCUCUCAUCCCACUGGCUAUCCUUUAAUCACAAACCACAUCUCACUGCAGGGGAGGCCGGGGAGAAGCAGUCAGGGCUGGAAGGGUCCAGACAACUCCAGGCUGCCUCCCUUCGGCUCAGUCUCGGGCGUCCCGAGCAUUGGUUUGUUGCUGCUGUGACUUCUCUGGUUAGAGAAUGACACAGAAAGGGCAGGAAAAAAGUAAAAUGAAAAGAUUGAUCGACUUAAUUAAAAUUCAAAACUUCAGAACGGUGAAAAAUACUGUGUGCAAAUUAAAGGGCACGUGGCGGCGUGCCGUGAAAAUGAUUCGCAACAUGUAUAAUACGCAGGUGCGUAAUAAUCUUACAUAUUAACAAGUGUUGCAAAUCUGUAAGAAGUCAGUGCUUCAAUUAAAAAUGGGCAAAGGGGGGCGCCUGGGUGGUGCAGUCGGUUAAGCGUCCGACUUCAGCCAGGUCACGAUCUCGCGGUCCGUGAGUUCGAGCCCCGCGUCGGGCUCUGGGCUGAUGGCUCAGAGCCUGGAGCCUGUUUCCGAUGCUGUGUCUCCCUCUCUCUCUGCCCAUCCCCCGUUCAUGCUCUGUCUCUCUCUGUCCCAAAAAUAAGUAAAAAAACGUUGAAAAAAAAAUUUAUAAAAAAAAAAAUGGGCAAAGGAUGCCAGUGGCAAUUUAGAAAAAGAGAAAUACAACAAGCAAAUAGAUAUAUGAAAAAUAAACAUUAUAAGCAUGCUAUAUGAUUUUUUAAGUGCAAAUUAAGCGACAAAGGGUAUGCACCAUUUAACACAUCUAUAGGGACUACUUGUGUUGAAACUUUAUAUGUGUUGAAACUUUAUAUAUGAGUUCCUUUAUAUGUGUUGAAACUUUAUAUGUGUUGAAACUUUAUAUACGAGUUCCUGGCUGGGAGGAGGAAGAGAGGCUUUUUGAGCAUUCUUGUGGUCUGUUGCUUGGAAUAUAAUUGAAAUAAAUCUUUGGGAGGGCUUUUUGGCAAUAUGAAUCAAAACCCUUGAAAAAGUACAUACUUUGACUCAGACAUUCUACAGUAGAAAUGCGUCCUAAGGAAAACGUAUGUUCUCUAAUAUUUAGAAAACUCAACACAGAAUUGUUUACAAAAUAUAGAAAAAUCCAGAAACAAUGUAAAAUGCCCCUCAAAAGGGAAUUGGAGAAGUAAUUUAAUGUCUGUCCAUAUAAUGGACUACUCUGACGAAAUUAACAAUUUUGUAAAAGUAUAUUUAUCUUAAAAAAGGAGAGAUGGUUAUUAUGUAUUUGUAGGCAGGAAAGCAUAAACAAUGUGUACAAGAUGGCCCCAUUUUAAUAAAAGUAUCUACAUGAGUCAUUUAGGAUGUAACUCAUAAGCAAUAGAAAAUUCACUUUAAACUCACUUCAACCAGCAAAUUUAUUUGUUCAUAUAAGUAGACACUCCAGAAGUAAGAUAGAUUUUAAUGUCAGCUGAAUUUAGCAGCUCAGAAAGCUCCUUAAAAACCCAGUUUCUUUUUAUAUCUCUUUUUUGCCUUCUGUAGCGCCUGCUUCGGCUGAAAGUUGGUUUGUGUCACGGAGGCAAGCUGGCCUCCAACAGCUUCCGGUUGUCCAACUGCAGAGAAGGGAGUGUUUCUCCCCAGGUCUCUGGCGGGAGCCCUACGCUUCCUUCUGACUGGACCACCUUGACUGUGUGGCAUUUCCAGAGGAAUGCUUUGUAUUGAUUGGCUUAGGUCUGGAUUGGGUAGUGGUUCCUAAAACAAACACUGUUGGCAAGAGCAUAAGAUUAUUGUAAUUUAGUUUAGCCAGAUCAGUCUCUAUAAUGGAGGUAGACAUGGGGUAAAUCCCAACAAAUCUGCACGGAUAUUCUACAAUCGUGUGAAGUGGAAUGGAUGUUGAAAAGCUCACCCUCACCGCAGGAAACAGCCCGGAAGGAUGUAUACCAACGGCAGUUAUCUUCAAGUGGAAUUAUGGGGGAUUUUCAUUUCUCUUAUUUAUGCCUGUUAUUUUACAUUUUUUCUUUUUUUUUUUUUGCUAAUUUUACAUUUUUGACAACAAACAUAUUACUUGAAAAAGUUUAAAAAGAAACGAAGGCUAUAAAUACGAGAAAAAGUUGGUGUAUAACACUUGCGAUGUAAUUAACAGAUUGAGAGACUUAAAGCAGACAUGUUGGCAAACAGGAAAUCUGAAUUUUCAGAACGGCACCAACUGUGCCUUGGAGAAGCUUCUGACUGCCUUUCUCUUGCUUCUGUAUGAAACUGUGGUCAUUUCUAUAGCUGUACCAUGAGAUUUUUGAAGGCUAGCCUGGCCUAAAACCAUUGGUUCCAGGGGCUUGCGUCUUUCCCUCGUGGUGGGGUGACGAAACUUUUUAGCUCUCUCUAGAGACAUUUUCACUUGUCAGCUUGAAACACCAUGAAGUGGGUCCCAACUCCAGAAGAGGUGCAGAAGGGGAAGCACUGGCCUCAGGUUCCUCUACUUCUUCCUUGGACAGAAGGAGCAGGGUGUUCUUUCAAGAAGUGGCUAGCACAAAAAGUCCCCGCUUCCUCUGAGAGCCCGCAGCUCUCGGGAAUCACAGUGUGAAACUGGCUGUCGUCUCAGGGAAGGGGCUCUGGGCCUGAGGCUCAGGAGCCUGGGAGAAUGUGAAGUGAGGCACUUCCCUUGACUCACUUCUGUUAGAUGCUGGGUAUUGGGGGUUCUUCUCAGGAUUCGUGGAGAAACUCCUGCUACUCUUCCGCAUACUUUUUUCCUGGAGAAGAGAACUCAGUUUCCCGCUGGCAGGAAAGACUUCCACUCGUAAUGUAAGGUGAGGCGUUCUCAUGUCUGGGCAUCUCGUUUCUCACUUUUAUUUCUGCUUGGCAUUGACCCUCAGCUCUGCAUUUUCGGAAACUUGAUUUUAUCUGCACAUGCCCUUCUGGAAUUAUCCCAUUGUGAUGAUAAGCAAUACACUGACAUUUUGGUUUCAUGAUGAGAACUAAGCCCAUAGGAUGGAAAUGCUCCAGUUUGAGUGGUUGAGGCACCCUGGUCUCAGUAGGAGAAUACCUGUGGGUGAAGAAAUGAGGCCCGAAAGUGGAUAUUGGAGGGUCUUAAGGCGCCAUUCUGUGUUUCUCCUAGUGAUGUCAUCUAACCUCCACCAGAAUGUAAAUUUCACUCAGGGAAGGACCUUGUCUGUCUUCUUCAAAUUUGCAUCCACCUCAUCUAGAACAGUUGAAGGUACUCAACUGGCUGUUGAGUACUAAGAGGCUGGCUAGCUGUAUGGAUGAAUGUUUCUUAUUUUUUAGAGUCACUGUCCCAUGAGAAGUUUUCCUUGACUCUUUUAGGAAGAUUAGACUCCCUCGUCUGGUUUCCAUGGCGCUUGGAAUUAAGCACUUAAAUUACAGAAUCGAAACUAUUUGCUUGCUCAUCUAUCUUCCCUAAAAGAUUGCGGGCUCCACAAAUGCAGGGAUCCUGCCUUAUUUUUCCAUUUAACUAACUAUAGAUACUUCAGAGUAGUCUAGCUCAUAGCAGAAUAAAAUAAUAACACUGUGGCAACCUCAUGAGUAUCUCUCAGCUUAUGGGAUAUGCUUAUUAAGCAGAUCAGGAUAUUGCAUUACUCGGGACCCCUUUGCUUUUUCAAUGGUGAUGCAUUAUUAACUUCUUACUCUUUGCUUUUCAUUGCUUCCAAGGGAACAAACAUCCUUCUAUUUUCAGCUGCUAUUUCAAUACCUUUCUGUUGAACCUACAAAUACACUGAAUGGUUUCCAUAGAUUACAUUUCCAGGAUCAAACUAGUCACCUCCUGAUGUGGUACAAAGAGACACCUUACCCUCACAAGCAAACCAUCUCUAAGUCUUAAAAUAGCAUGCAUUAAUACCGUCUAGAGACAGCGCAUCCCUCUUUGGUUAUAUGGAUUCUUACUUCUCUGCUCACACAAACUAAAGUCCCCAAACUGGUCCCCACUCACUUUUGGCUCAUCCCUUUUAUCACCUAUGGUCCUCUGUCUGGAGACUGCACUUCCUCUCGUUAGUGCACUUGACCAGGUCACAUUUCCUUUGGGGUCAGGUGGGGAUUUGCAUGGUACUACUCUGACCACUCUGAAACAGCAAAUGUCCUCAUGCGGCUCCAGUCCUGGAUCGUCCAGAAAUAAUAUUCGAUGUUUUGAGACCAGACAUUUAGGAAGUCAAAACAUAGACUAAAUGGCAACCACACAUUUAAGAUCAGGGUAGGCUGAAAGUCUGAAACGGGGUAGGUGCUCAGGUUAGGUGAAAUUGGCGAUAACCAGAGACUCAUGAUAUAAGCCUGAUUCGUGGACUUUGCUACAGCCAAGGGUUCCAUAUCUGCUUUCAGUUUGUGGGAGGCUGAGCUCAUGGAUGUGGAUGGUUUAAGUGGCCAAGGAGGUGGUGAAAAAGAAGGCAGGAAAUUUAUAGUUCUUUGGGAAGGUUCUCGGAGUAUGGGAGCAAAUCUCAAGGCCAGAAUGACACAGAUGUACAUUUGUGGGGUACACACCGCUGGGAGAUGUACAUCAGCCAUUGGUCUCCUAUCUAAAGCCCACCCUCAUCUCCCAGGAGGCCUUGCAUCCUGCGCUUGUGUUGUCGCCUGGAUCCAUCCAGUUGUCUUGCACACUGAGAAUCCCUGUGGUGACUGGUCAUUAUUCUUUGAGGGGGCAGCUUCAUUAUAUGUCUGCAUUCUGUUGGCUUUGAAAGUCAUUUGGGUCAAAACCAGAAGUUGGCCAGUAUGUAGGCCUAGCUAUCUAUACCUCUCAAACACACCUUUCCUUAAAUUCGAUUAUUUCAUGGCCGUUUGCCUUCCGCGUGCAUCAUUUACAAGUUAGCCUUUAUCAUUGGUCCCCAUUUCCUAUCCACAGUGCCAGCCUUUUUUGCCCAGUUGUGGUUUUCUAGAGGGCUUCUUUAUUCUGUCUUCUUCCGUCAGCCUUACUAAACUUUCUGGUAUUCUUGCUCUUUCCAGUGAGUUCCUCCUGCUAGCCCCAUGUCUCUACCGUCCGGGAUUCAUCUCAUCAUUUCCUGCCCUGGUUUUUCAUGCAAGAAAAAGAAUACCUUCCCCAGAUCCUCUUCUCGGGAAAAGGAGAAGAAAAACACACAUCUGUCUAACCAAAGGUUUGUGGUUUUUCGUAAGUUUUCUCCAAUUCAAAAUGUGUGAAAUUGACCUAUGUUUUUGCCAUCUCUCUCAAACACUACACCAGUGUGCAUACCUGCUCUUACUUCCAAACUCGUGAAGUAAAUCUCUUGAGGACAAAGACCAUAUCUCAUUCUUCUCUGCAAGCUCAGCAUUUAGCACAGUGCCUGUUACAAGGUGGGUACACAAUACAUGUUUAUUGAAUGAAUGAAUGAGUGAGUGAACAUAUAAGUGGAGAAAAUAGGACAUGGGUGUGAAUUUUAAAAUUCAGAUUAUAAAUUUUUUUGAUCAUUCAAAAGUGGUUGAAUGAUAACAUAGCUGGGGUUUUUGACAUUAAUAGUUUUCUUUGUCACCAAUAACUUAGAAUGUAAUUCCUGUUGAAAAAUACAAAAUAUAAUUACAGAUCAUGUUUGCAAAAUAACACUGAUAACAAUGAUAUUUCUUUAUUUGGGAAUAAGUCUAUUAAAUAAACAGAUCAAUAUAGUGGUCAUAUUUUAAGAUUAUCUCAAGGAUAAAUAUUGAAAUAGCCAUUUGCUCUAUAAAUAUGAUUCAAAAUUCUAUGCCACUCCUAAAAGGCAAAUAUAAAUGCUAGUGAAAAUAAGCAAGAGCAUUAAUAACUUGGUAUAAGUGGACUUUAAUACGGAAAAAUGUGAGUCCAUUCAUAUGGUAAUAGAUUUCACUGUGACCCGUGGGCUUAUAUCCCUGCCAAAGAAACUCUGUAAAUAUAUACGCUUCUGAAAACGGAGAGAAAUCAAUUAUAUAAUAAUUAAGUAAAAGAUAAAGUUAAUAACUAUGUGCUAAGUAAAAGUUUUCAGAGAAGGCCAUGGUUAAGGCAUUCCACGGGUUUUACUUUCAAUUAUUUAAAUCAUAGUUUUCAGGUCUAGAGAGUCGACUUUGUAUGAUGUAUAUAAUCAAGCAUAAUAUAUAUUUUACUCAAAGAUACCUAAUACAGGUAAGAGAAUUUGACAAGUAAUGUAUAUUAUAUGUGGAUUUCAAAACUAAGGGAGUUCUUUUCAUCAGUGAAACAAAUCAUAGCAUGUAAAAAAGGGUAGUAAGAAUAGCUAUAAUACAAUUGGAGCUUAGUUGGGGGAAAUGGGAUUAAACCUGACAGAAAGUUUACAGCAAUCCCCAAUGCUGAGUCAGAGAGAGAAAGCCAAAUUGCUUCACGGAAUCUGCUGAUUCCAGCUUUGCCGAGAUCGUACCAAGAAAACAUCUGCUUUAUGGCUAAAGCCAGGUGUGGUCUGUUGAGGCAGAAAGGGUAUGUCCCUGAUGCUUGGGAUGGGCCAACUCUUUGUGCAACGAAGCAAACCCAUUGGCUGUGGUGUGGAGUAUUGCCUACCAGCAGAACACAGAAUUCACUAUCUUGGCAGCUGUUGUUGAUCUGUAAGCUUUAAUAAUGUUGAAGUGAUACGCAGGUAAUUAAUUCUUGAAUAGCUUGGUAAUUUCAAUAAUCCACCAGUAAAAUAGCUUCAGUGGGUUUCAAAACUAGAUGCAACUCGAUAGAGACAAACCAACAGACCGAAGACAAAAUCCUCUCAGAGUCUGGGAAAUGGUAUCAGCAGUGAAUCACAUGCUUAGCAACAUACAGAUUACUGUUUGCUUUUUGUGGUUUAUAGACAUCAUACUGACCUUUGGCAUCUGGAGAGAUAGGGAGGAAGGGAGAAAAAUACCGUCUGCUUACUGCCUGCCCGGUUACCGGCAGGGGCUCAGGACCACGGAAGCUCCAUGGUGUCAGACACCUGGCGUGUUUUACUGUGCUGUCUCCACCGAUUAGAUCCGUGUUGGUGGGCCCACAUAGACGGGUUCACCCUGCUACCUGAAAGCCCAGUGUUCCUAUGAAACCUUUCGGAAACCAGAACGACAUCAAGCGAAGAAGCAAUUACCAUUAAUUUAUAUGGAGAAACUUGUAAGCGUUCCCAGACCCCCCAAAUUACCUCUCGUAGACUUUUCUGGUACCACAGGACACAUCUUGCUAAUGGAUACACAAAAUAAAUCGAGGUAAAACUCAUAGACACAGCUCAAAACUCUGGCAGCCUGAAGACGAGAUGCUGAGCACGGUUCCGGGGAAGCAGGUGGUGGGGCCGCUCUCGCUGCUCGGGACGCGUGCUGCCUCUAUCGUGGCUCCCUGCAAAACACACGCGGGAUGCUAUGGUGGCUUUUUGCCUUUUUUCUUUUUUUGUAAAAACAAAAAUCCUCUUUAUUUCUUGCAGUUAGUAAAAACAGGAACUGACGUAGAUCUUUCUCAAAAGCAAAGCAGUGAAACACGACCUUUCGAAAGGUGGAUGAUACCUAUAGCUGGAAUUCACCAACUGAUAGAAUAGAUGUCUGUCGGCUGGGACUGCCACUUUUGUUCUUGGUUAGUCCCCUGCCAAUGCAGAGGGCUCCUUCCAAGCAGAACUGAAUGGCUCUGCUUUUAGCCAGUGGACCAUAAUUUUGUAUAAACUCAUUACUUAAGUUUACAUUAAGAUUCACGGAAAAUGUCAUUACAUGUGGUCUUCUUAGAGUUAGUAAUGCACAAUCCUUUUCUGAAAUCCUAGAAUGGCUCCUAUGUCUAUUUCUAUCUGCAGAUAUAUAUGGGACGGCGAAAUGUGUCCUUAAAUUGUGUCCUUUUUGUUAUCGCGGUGACUGUAAUGUUAGAUCACACGCUUACUAUUAUUUAGGUUAUAAAAUGAAAAGUGCUUUGUCACCAUUCUUACGAGCUACCUUCUUUUCAAUACUUCAUUAUUUAAUAUUUAUUUAUAUUCCAGGUUUGGGGGAAUUUUUUUCACCCUACCCUUGUUUGUGAGCAGCCUGGUGUUUCAAAAAUCUCAAGUAAACAUGUGUGUGCACGUUGUUUUGCAAGAUGUGUUUUUACGCAUUAAAUAGUUUAGAAAAGGCCAAGUUUCGAUUAAAACCAGGUGGCAGGUCUCUGGAUUAAUGAAUCCUGUGAGUACUUCAAAGAAUAUCUGUGCAUCAAAAUUGUGGCCAGAACAAAACUGGGGAGGGAAGCUAGAGAAUUUCCCUUUAUAUGUGAAAAGGCAAGUUCAAAGUUAAAAAGUUAACUGCCUAGAAAAGCACUCAGAAAAACGUGUGAUUUCUCUGCCUUCAGAGGUCACAGGAUACACCUUCAGAGGCUUUGUGAUUUCAUCCAGUUCCCACGUCACCUCCAGAGCUGUUCUCAGAUGAUUAACAGUCAUAGCUAAUAUUUACUAAGUGCUUGUCCUUGACGCCGAGUGACUGGUGCUGAGUAGACACCGGUCUCCUCCCUUCCUUCCUGCCAGCUUUGAGGAGAAUAACAGUGGAGAUCACCAAAGCUUCCCAGACUGGAGUGGUAUUCUUAAAAUACCAGAGAAGUAAGGCCACAAGGGGAAGACUAAACGUUUAACGUGGGGAGGGCGUGUCUAUCGUGGGAGAGGAGACGUUCUGAUCAUCCGGGGAGGGUUCUAAGAGCUAUUCUGGAAGUAUCCACUUCAUCUUAUUGGCCUUCUGCCAGCAGCUACAGAGCACAUGAAAUCAUUCCUGAAGUCUGUUCUCAGCUGAUGAGUCCUUUCUGCUGGUGGUAAGUCAGAUACUGGCCCUAACCUUGGCAUCCACUGCCUGACUGACCGCGAGGCCCAGGAAGGAACAGCCCUCCUCCCUCUUAGACGGCAUAGGUUCUGGGGGUGGGGAGAGUCUGGAGAGACCCGUGGGAAGACCUUCUCAACUACCUGGAAAUAAGGUGGGAGCCGGGAGCUGCUCUGCCCCGUGGAAUCAGUCUAUUCGGGCUGCCAAGACAAAAUACCGCAGACGGGGUGACUUAAACAACAGAGACUUAAUUUCUCACAGUUUUGGAGGCUGGGAGUCCAAGAUCCAGGUGCUGGCAGGGUUGAUUUUCUCUGAGGUCUCUCUCCUUGGAUUACAGAUGACUGUCUUCUUGACGCCUCUUUACAAGGUCUUUUCUCUGUGCACACGCAUCUGGACGCUCUCUGGGUUUCCUAAUCUCCUUUUCUUUUCUUUUCUUUUUUUUCUAACUUGAUUUAUUUUGGGGGAGAGCGCAAGUAGGGGAGGGGCACAGAGAGGGGGACAGAGGAUCCGAAGCAGGCUCUGUGCUGACAGCGGUGAGCCCGAUGCGGGACUCGAACCCACGGACCUCGAGAUCAUGACCUGAACCGAAGUCAGAUGGAUGCUCAACCUACUGAGCCACCCAGUCCCCUAAUCUCCUUUUCUUACAGGGACACAAGGGCACCAAUCAGAUGAAAUCACAGCCCACCCUCCCGCCCUCAUUCUAACGUAAUUCCCUCUUUAAAGACCCAGUCUCCAGAUGCAGAUACUGGAGGUUCUGGAGGUUAGGGCUUCGACAUAUGAACUUGAGCGGGACACAAUUUGGAUCACAACACCUGCUAAGUUUUCUUUUUUUCUCUUUUUACAAAAGAAUUCAACCCACCCGCACCAGUACCGUUAGGAAAAACCUUAACAAAUGACAUUAACAAAAUGUCGUCUCAGAAAUCAGGAGAAUUGGGUUUGAAGCCAGAUUUCACCAUUAAUCGGCAACUCCCUGAGAGGUGUGUGGAGCCCCUCACAACUUUUAUGUAUGUGGAGUCUUUCCCUGACGUGGGGAGCGGGGUCGGGGGGGGGGGAAUCGCCUGGCCCAGUGGCUUAGAGAUCACACCUGCAGGGGGGACUGCCUGCUCCAAGCUCCAGUGUCCCUGUCACCAGCUAAUUAACCCUGGCUGAGUUCCCUCCUGCCUCUAUCUCUCAGCUUUCUCUUCCGAAAAAUGCAAAUAAUAAUUGUGCCACCUUCCUGGGCUGGUGUGCUGAUGGAAGGAGGCAUCUCUCACCAGAGCGGUCUCGUAGUGAGUAAUCAUCGCGAGUUAGCCACUGUUCCAGUUUGUGUCGUUACCCGUUCCUUAUCUCCCUUACAGGCCCUUCCCCCACGUUAGCACACAUCCGAUGCUCCCUUGGUUUUCUUCGGAAGCGGGGUGUCUGUUGAGGAAUGCUCAUCUUGGGUCCUCUGAACCUACCAAGUAUUGUCCCACCUUGGCUCCUGCAGAGGUGAGGGGAAGGGGGAGAUCCCGUAGCGGGGAGUGCCCCAGCGCUCGUGAUGAGGACAAGGCAGGCAGUGGCCCUCCGUGGGAGGAAUCUGUCUCCCUUGACUCUGCUGCUGACGAGGAUGGGGGCACAAAACAGAGAGGACAAAUGUGCUGCCCCAAGUUCAUUAGCUCCCUGGAGAAAUGGCUUCACGUACACGUGCUGUUGUGGAGGCACUGCCACCAUCUUUUCCUGCCGAUACAAAGAUGAACAAAGACCAACCAAAUGAGAAAGACCGAGGCCAUCCACUCAGAAUUUGCUAGAGCGAGGGGGACAGCCACCGUCGCUGCCUCGCAGCAGAGCCUCAAAGGCAGGCAGAGGAGUAGAGGGGAGCCUACGGGGAACAUGGGGAGGCUUAUGGGCCUGCCCAGAUGGGAGCCUGGGGCCUGGAGAACCUGGAGGUGGGCUAACUAGAAGUGGGUGUCUAUGUGACUGUUCGGGAGGACGUACGUGGCUCUCUCUGGUUGGUCCUAAGUUGGAAGCAGGGACAAAAAUCAGGGACGCUGUCAGUGAUUAAUCGAGUCCUGGCCAUGUGGGGCCAGUUGUUACGGAGGCUGUUGAUUGGCUGGCUGGACCGUCACAAGAGACAGCAGGUUGCCCCCCCUGGGCUGGUGACUGUGGAGGACGGCUUGGUUUCCUGGCAGGUGGCUGCGGGUUGUGGAUCAGAGUUUGAUUUUUAAAUAUGGGUCGGCCUUAUCCGUUGGUAUAUUCCGUCUCUCACCGAGGGCAGCACGUCGUCCUCAGGGGGUUGCCCCAAGCAGCGUUCUUAGGAUGAGACCAGCUGCUUCCCUGACGUUCUUAGGUGCCCACGCAGGUGUCUGCUUCCCACAGGAUUUUGGCAGGGAGUGGUGGUGCCUGUUUUUUGCGGGGCAGUUGUGGCCAGAAUGUAACUCUCUGCUGAAAUUUGUUAGCCUCCAGGGUUGUCUUUCAGAGCUGAAGCCAAAGGAACAUUUGGGGCCAGAAGAAAACAGGUAUUCCCAUUUUACGAUUUCGGAAGAAACACGCUCUAGGAAUUAUCCAUAAGUGGAGGUCGUGCGUAUAGAUGAGGAUUUAUUUGUUGCCAUGAGCUCUUGAUAUGCAAAUAUACCUCUGCGAGGGAAUAUGAACUUGGAGACUGGGAGCGUCUGUCUGGCUGCAUGAUCCUGAAUAAAUUACUCAUCUUUCUGAGCUCUCAUAAAUAAAUGAAAGGCAAUAAAACUUGCCCUCGUUGAUUUUGCAGAUUUGCAACGUUCCUGUCUAUAAAAAGAGUUUUAAGCCACCUGCUGUCAUAGCAGCGUCUUCACUGUGCACAUUUGUCCUUUGCCGGGCUCCUGCUCGUCAGAGCUCCUAUAAGACACCACUAUGCAAGCACGGGUGGGCAUCCCAUGUUGCCUCUUAGCCUGUGGCAUGUGCUACUUCUAAUUCUGAUCAUGUAAGUCUCCUCAUUGCCUACGAAGUGAAGUUUAACCUUCGGAAAGGUAUCGAGGCCCUCGAAAACUGGUCCUGGACUUUGUUCUCUGAAUAAGCCUCCACUCCACCAAAUUCAAUCUGCUCAUGGUUCCCACCUUGGCUUUUGCUGCUUUCUGUUGGCUACAAUCUGCACUUCUCCUCGUCUCUAUCCACCUUUGCCCCUGCUUUGCUCUAGUUUUCAACCUGGAAAGGCUGGAUUCAAGUCUCACCUCUUCCAAUGAGCUUUCUCUCACUGCCUCUGUGACCCCUUCUAUUCUGAACAACGUCCCCCUGCUCCCCCCCCCGCCCCGCCCCCGCAAGAGACACCCAACCUUCUUACUCAUUUGGCAAAUGAGUGAAACGACACAUGAUGUUUCUGGUUAUGACUACCCAGUUAUAUUGUAUUCUGCCUCUUCCCCUGGGUGAGAAGCUUCUGUAUGUCAGCACCUGUGUUUUACCACCUGUAACCUCACUGUUUUCCAUUGUAUUGGAUAUUCAUUGUAUGUUUCGACGCACAAGGAAGAUUGUGGAGUAUAAUGAUGUGACAUCGUGCCGCGUCGAUCAGAGUGUUAAACGUAUUGGAAAACUACAGAAGCUAGUUCUUCCUUGCUCUCAAUAGUAAACAGUUCCCUGAAACCGUAUCAGAUCUGGAGGGAGAGGGGUUUAUUAUAGCUGCAGCUACAGUCAUUCAGGUGGAAAAAAGGAGGUUGUACAAUUUUUUUUCCAAAGGAAGUACAAUGAGAGUCACUCAGGCUCUGUGUAGGGUUUCAAGUCUUAGAACACAGCUAGGCCAAGCCCCGCCCGUUGCUAUUGGGGAGGUGCUAUCAGAUGAACUAGACAGGUGUGCAGGGGCCGAUGGGGGGCAAUGCAGGUGCAAGGUAGUCCUGGUGAGCAGAAAUGAGGAAUCCAACAGGGAAGCUACAGAGAAGAUGAGGAUUCUGGGCAGAAUGAGGGGUGAGAGCAAGAUUGAAUAAAGGGGGGGCGGGUGCAUAGCCCAUUAGCUAGGUCAAACCCGGCAACAAUGAGCCCAGGAGUGGGCAUUGUUGGGAGGCCCAGACGGACCAUAGAAGAGCCUGGCAGGACUGACCCCCCUAAUACUGGGACUCAGAGGCUGGGUUUUAGAUCCUGGGAGGGGUCUAGACCUGUCCUAGAGAGCUGGUGAUUCUAUUCAAGGCUCAGCCAUGGGGAAUCAGAUGAGGACAUUCUGCAUCGAGGACAGGGCCAAUCUUGUCUCAAAAAUAAGGAAAAGUCCCAGAUAAGAGCUGGCUGCUGUGGAAAUGAGUGAAGAUGACCUUGUGGACAGAGAGAAAGGAUGUGGAGUUUGCAAUCCUAUGCGGCUGUGAUGUCAGGAACGAAGGACCAGAGAAGGGAAGCGACUUUAGUGUCCAAAACCCCACUCCUCAUUGGCAGCAGACCUAGGUUUAAAGCCCAGUUCUUGUGAUUCCGCCUGGUGGGGUAGAGUGUUCUAACUUUGCCCCAUCUCCACUGGAGCCCUCGGUGUCCGUGGUGGUGCCCUGAGGACAGUUACAGGAAUGUGCUCUGGGAGAGAGCAAUGAGGAGGCAUUUAAUGCGGGCAGAUAUGCAUUUUUCUAUCGAUUGUUGAAGGGUUCUGGUGUAAGAUUUUGACCGAAAAAGCUGUAGCUAAAAGAAAGCUUGAUGAUGAGUUUGACAAUGACAAUGACCAUUUCAAUUUCUUUGUAUUAAGACUUUUUUUAAUGUUUAUUUAUUUUUGAGAGAGAAAGCGCAAGCAUGAACGGGGGAGAACCAGAGAGAGACACACACACAGAAUCUGAAGCAGGCCCCGGGCUCUGAGCUGUCAACACAGAGCCCGAUGUGGGGCUUGAACUCACAAACUGCGAGAUCAUGACCUGAGCCAAAGUCCAGUGCUCAACCGACUGAGCCACUCAGGCUCCCCUGACCAUUACAAUUUCUAUUCCUCUGUGGAGAGCCGGGGAGUAGAGAAAUAAAUGCCUGGAGUUUGGCCACACGGCAAUGGCACAAAAAUCCAUCCCAGCAGGGGAAAUUCUCCACAAAGGGUGACAACGCAAUAUGCGAGGGAAAAUGGUGCCUUUGGCAGGGAUUGCAUAAGGAGCCAUGGCAUCUUAGAUUCUCAGCAGCUUGCGGUAGCUGUCUCCAUGGCGACGUGCCCUUUAGGAAAUCAAUGUAAUAUACUGUGCCUCUUUAAAGUCUACUUUAUAUACUUACCACGCGAGGGGCUUAUAUAAGGGAAUGGAAACCCAUUUAAGCUAGCUCAAAUAAUAGAGGGGUGUGUUAUAUUUUUAGGACCCGAGGACAGAAAAUGCAGAGCAACCUCAAUGGAAUCAGAAAUUCAGGAACCCAGGGGCACCUGGGUGGCUUAGUUAAACGUCCAACUUUGGCUCCGGUCAUGAGCUUGGAGUUCAUUGCUUGGAGUUCAAGCCCCACGUCGGGCUCUCUGCUGUCAGCUCAGAGCUUGGAGUCUUCUUUGGAUCCUCAGUCUUCCUCUCUCUCUUCCCCUCCCCCACUUUCUCUCUCAACAAUAAAGAAAUAAACAUUUAAAGAAAAGAAAUCCGGGAGCCCAUGCUGUUCUCUUUGUCUUGCGAGGGCCUUUGUAGACUCUCAGGGACCUUGUCGCUCCCUCUGCUCUCCUCUUGCCCCUCGCUGUCACUUUCUUCACUCACCCACAUUCCACCAUUACUGGCAGGCCAAUGACAUGACAUCAUACUUGGGCCACAUUCUCUGUGAGGACUUUGCAGUUGGAUGUUUAAGAGGCAGACACCAGUGGAUUCAGCACCGUCUCCGGAAUAAUUCUCCCUGCGUCAGAUAGCUAUCCCUAGUUCCACAAAACACUGAGGUGGUGGGGAAGUAAGGAAAGCUAGUAGCGGGGAGGCAACAGUUGGCAUCUCUGCCAUAGGCUUUCAGAGACAGAGAUCCAGAAAUUUGGGGGUUCCCCAGGCUGUGGCACAGUGGGCUGUUCACUGCUGUGCAGGCUUGAGAAGAUUCCAUGAGGCUAUUACACACAUCUUAUCAUUUCAGUGGCCACAGUUCCUCAAUAAUCCUAAGGUCCCAGCACCUUCCUGGAUGGAUGGUCUUCCAGCUGAACCACAGAAAUGGUAUUUCUACAAAUGGGGUCCAGUUGGGUUGGUCACAUGACAUUGACCCAAGAAGAACUCGGAACAUGCAUUUGACGUUGGAUUUCUUUUGAAGUUUAUUUAUUUUGAGAGAGAGAGAGAGAGAGAGAGAAAGAGGGCUCAGGCAACUGGGGGAGGGGUAGAGAGAGAGGGAGAGAGAGAAUCCCAAGCAGGCUCUGUGCUGUCAAUGCAGAGCCUGAUGUGGGUCUUGAUCUCACCACGAGAUCAGGACCUGAGCUAAAAUAAAGAGUCUGACAUUUAACCCACUGAGCCGCCCAGGUGCCCUUCUCCCCCAGCCUCCCCCUGCCUUUUUUUUAAAGUGACCUUGCAUUUGACAUGAACUUCCUUGUAGUGGUUGAGAGAAUGGGUGCUGGCGUUGUACUCUGAAAUUCAAAUCGUGGCCCCUCUCCCCAAUAACUAUAUGGCCCUGAGUAGGUUAGUUAGCCUCCUUAAGUCCGUUUCCCCAUUUGCAAAAAAGUGCAUAAUAAAACCACUCGGUGGAACAUAAACCAUACCCCAGGGUUAGAACAAUAUGCUCUAAAAACAGUUUUGAUCCCUAGAAAGUACUGGGUAAAUGUCACCGAUGAUUGCUAUCAUUUUUGUUAAUAUCUUUGUCAUGUCUUAUGGACCCAAAUGAAUUCCAGCCUCUGCAUCAAUAGCUUCCUCACAGUCUUUACAGCUCUUGCGCUAAUGCAUUCCCCAGACCUUUGCAUGUGCUGUUAACUAGUACUUGGUGAUUAAUCAACUGAGUUUUACACUGUUGUGCUUUGUGGCUCCAAGUUGAAAAAGUUCUCACAAUCAAAGAUGGAAAAGGAUGCACAGAAGGUGGAACCUUGACCUGAUUUUGAGCAAUUUGCUGAGUACUGAGAGUCCACCUUUCAGACCUUCCUUUUGGAUGGUUUGAGUAUGUGCCCCUCUCCUGAGAUAAAGAGAAGACCCCCAAAUGAUUUCUCUAGUUUCUUUUUUUUUUUAAUUUUUAAAAAUGUUUAUUUAUUUCUGAGACAGAGAGAGACAGAGGAUGAGUGAGGGAGGGGCAGAGAGCGAGGUAAAGACACAGAAUCUGAAGCAGGCUCCAGGCUCCGAGCUGUCAGCACAGAUGCGGGGCUUGAACUCACGGACCGCAAGGUCAUGACCUGAGCCAAAGUAGGACGCUCAACCAACUGAGCCACCCAGCCGCCUCUGAUUUCUCUAGUUUCUUUGGUUCAUGUCCAUACAUCUAAAAUUUUCAUCCUCUGUACCAAAAAACGUGCAAUGUGUUCCUUGAGAUUUACAAGGUCACAGAGUUGGAAAACCACCCAAGAUGCUUUGUGAUUCACUCUUUCUGGUGCUUUAAUCCCUCAGGAGCCAAGUUGCCCUGAAGAUCAUGAACUUGUCUUCUGACCACUGCAACAUAUCGGAUUGGCUGAGGCUGGAAGCAACAGUGAAGGCCUCUGUGUAUGUGGUGGCCUUCUUCUUUGCCACAUUCGUCACCGUCGUCAUCAUCACAAUAGUGUUACAGAAUUCGAAGCUGAGGAAAGAGGUCCGACACAUCCUCCUGUGCCACCAUCUGCUAUGCAUCUCCUCCUACUGUGGCCUCGGGGUGGUUUUCCAAGGGAUGCGGGCUCUGCUGGCCAACAGCCCCGUGCUGGUGUGCUGGGUGGUAUUUGGGGUCCAGCUAAGUGUUGGAGAAGGGAUCCUCUUUACGCUGGCCUUGAUGGCGGUCAACACUUACCUGGCUGUUUGCUGGCCUUUGAAAUCUCUGUCCUUUGUAGAUUCGGUUAAGUACAGGAUCUUGGCUGCGUCUUGGAUAAUCAUUAUAUUCAAGAAUGUUUGCUUAUUCCUCAUAGAAAGCGCUAACCCCCCUCGAGUUGCUGUUUUUAAAUCUGAACCCCUGUGCCCUGUGAUCUUGAAUGGCCCUCCUGCCAGAGCCGUUGGCAUGGUUUUCCUUUUCUUUCUUCUGUCCAUCAUUCUUACAAGUUACUUUCUGAUCUACCGAGAAGGCAAACGGGCUGGCCAUUUUAACAGAUCAAAUAUCAAAGCAAAAAAAACAGUCCUUAUUCAUUUAGUGCAGAUGAGUUUGCAUGUAAUACCAAUCCUGAUAUUCAUAGGUUUGGGAAAGAUGUGUGGGGUGUUUUUCUUUGCUUUAAACCUGGUACUUUUUGGAGUCUUUGCAUUUGCACAGUGUCUUAACCCCCUGAUCUAUGGGCUCUGGAACAGAGAGCUGCAAAGCGGAUUAUACCACUGGAUGUGCUGUCAGCUGUGGUGUGGUCACAUUAUGAACGACAGAGAGCCAGUUUAAUCUGGAACUCAGCCACUUGGAAUCAAUGACUCUAGCCCUAGCGGACCAUCAGCCAGGCUUGAGGACUUGCCUUUUACGCAACCUAAAAUUGGUGCCUUGGUUUGAUUCUGGAAGCGAUAGGAGUAAGUCAGAGCUAUUCAUCUGGCUUGCAAACUUCGUUGCUGUGUGCGCUGAACUGGCCUCACGGAAAUCGUUUUAUAUCUUUAAUUCUAAACCCAGAUCAACAUUUUUGGCGGCAUGCCCUACUGUGUUUCAGUAGUCAGGCAGCUUUUGAGAACGCACUUGUUUUUAGAAAUGGAGAAACAGUCCAUGGUUGAUAGGAAGAGAAGUUUGGCUGUUCCUCAGUUAGGGAUAGGCUUCGCUGCAUGUAGUAACAAAGCAGAAACCAAAUAACAGUGAUUUUGUAAAGUUUGAGAUUUUUUUUUCUGAUGUAAAAGAAAUCUGGAGGUAGACAAUGCAGUCUUAUAUCACAGCUCUGCAAGCAACAGGUUCAUUCUGUUCUACUCUGACAUGCUUAUUAUGCUACCUCAUGGCCCAAAAUGGCUGUUAAUGUUCCUGUCAUCAUGUUCAUGCUCCAGCCAACAGGAAGGAGUAAGGGGCAAAGGAAGGUCUAUGCUCUCUUUUUUUUAAAAAAAAAUUUUCAAUGUUUAUUUGUUUUUGAGACAGAGAGAGAGAGAGAGAGCAGGGGAGGGGCAGAGAGAGAUGGAGACACAGAAUCUGAAACAGCCUCCAGGUUGAGCUUCAGCACAGAGCCUGACGCAGGGCUCGAACCCAUGAACCGUGAGAUCGUGAUCCGUGCCAAAAUUGGAAGUACAACCGACUGAGCCACCCAGGCGCCCCAUACCCUCCUUCUACAGACACUUUUUAGAAGUUACACAAAAUACUUUUUCUUCUAUCUAACUGGCCAAAAUUUACUCAUACGCCUAUGCCUGGCUUUAAGAGAGAAUGGGAAUGAAUUUUAGCUGGGUAGUAGAGUCCCUGGCUAAACAUUGGGGUUCUUGAUACUAAGACAGGAAGGAAGAAUGGCUAUUAGGAGGCAAAAUUAUUUCAGGGACCAUUUUCCUUUCAACCAAAUAAAGUAUAAAGAAAGAUAACGGAUGGGUUAUAAUCAUUACAAAACUAUACUCUGCCUUUCAAUGUGAUAUUUGGAGUUAACCAUUCAAGAUCCCAGAACACUUUAAUUGUAUAAUGUUAACAGUUCUCAAAGGGAACGGCAUUGGCAUCGGCAUCGAGAAGAACAUUGAGCUGCUUUAAACAUGGCAAUUAACUCAUGACUUGAACCUAAGCCAUUUUGAGGCAGCAGCACAAAACAAAGUCUUUCACAGGAGUUUACAUAUGAGAUUUCUUUAGAUGAAACAUCCACUUCUAAGCAAGUCAGGAUUCAGUUGUGGAAACAGGAAUCAUCACUGUAGGAUGGGAUUUAAUACAGGAAUUAGAUGCUUACAAAGUCUCUGGCAGGACUGGGGGAGGGGAAAUCAGGAGCCACCACUUGUUGGCGUCAAGAGAAAACCAUUGCAGGGGCGCCUGGGUGGCGCAGCCGGUGAAGCGUCCGACUUCAGCCAGGUCACGAUCUCGCGGUCCGUGAGUUCGAGCCCCGCGUCGGGCUCUGGGCUGCCGGCUCAGAGCCUGGAGCCUGCUUCCGAUUCUGUGUCUCCCUCUCUCUCUGCCCCUCCCCCGCUCAUGCUCUGUCUCUCUCUGUCUCAAAAAUAAAUAAACGUUAAAAAAAAAAAAAAAAAAAAUUUAAAAAAAAAAAAAAAAAAAAAAAAAAAAAAACANNNNNNNNNNNNNUUUAAUACAGGAAUUAGAUGCUUACAAAGUCUCUGGCAGGACUGGGGGAGGGGAAAUCAGGAGCCACCACUUGUUGGCGUCAAGAGAAAACCAUUGCAGCCGGGAUCUGGAGAUCAAGCAGCUGCUUCCACCACUGCCCCCUGCCCCCACCCGAGACCUCCCCUUAAUAUAGUGAAUUUCCAAAAGAAAGAGCAGCUGGCAGAUGGCCUCCACCUCCUUCCCUCUUUCAAAUCUCAAGUGAUUGUCUCUAACUGGUGGAACCCAUCUGGCCUCCAGACCCUAAGAGUAAAGAAGUCUGGGAAAUGUAGUUCCUAGUUUCACAGGAACAGGAAGUUACAGUACAGGAAGUUGUCCCCAAAUGGGGGUGGACCGAGAACUGAAAGAGUGCUUCCACGGGAUCCACCGUUAUGACAUUUAGUUUUAUUUACAGGUGAUAACAACAGAAGCAAAAUAGUUGCUCACUAUUGAGCAACUAUUAUGCUCCUGGCACAAUGCAAACGAUUAUAUAUAUAUAUAUAUAUAUAUAUAAUUUGACAUUAUAUAUAUAUAUAUAUAUAUUUAGGGGCACCUAAUAAUAUAUAUAUUUAUAUAUAUAUAUUAAAUGUCAAAUUCUCAUAACAGGUAUAUGUAGGUAUUAUUAUUCCUGAUUUACAAAUGAGAAAAGCUGAGGCUUAGAAAAGCCUUGCAGGAGCUUAGGUCAGGAACUUCCCUUUCAGAUUUGCCAUUUAUAUGACUCGGCCAAAGGUGAUGAUUUUAUUGCUGUUGAGAGGUGGACCAAUUGCUUGGGAAAUCUGGGCCUUAGUUCUCCACUUUGCUUUGGGUGUGGACACCUGCCUUCUGGAAAAGAGCCUCUUUUUCAUCCGUUGCUUUGACUACCCUCUCCCAUCCUGAGAUCCCCCACCCUGUUUUCAGAUUCUAGUGGCUUCUGUAUCAUGUCUAGACUCCAUUUUGGCUCCAACUCCUCCUUCUCUGGAUGUUCAGUCUGCCUUCUCUCUUCUUCCAUCCUCAACUCUGGGAUUUCAAAGCCUGAGCUUCUCUUCUGCAAUAUGCAAGUGUCUUCGGGGCAGCAGAGAUUGCCAUGGCUGAGUACCUUCGUGUCCUGGCACCCAACACAGUGCCUGGUAGAUGGCAGGCUCUUCACAAGUGAUGUAAUGGACUCAUGUGGUCAGUAAAACAUGGCCUUUUUAUAAACUCCCUCCCCACGAAACCCAAGCUGUCUCUUUGUUUUUGCUGAAAUAUUAAACAAUUUGGGAGCUGAGAGUGCAAUAAAAACUCAAAAAAGUUACCAAAGUUAGCUCAAUUAUAAGUCCUAGAUCUAAUAUACACAAAUUUAUUCUUAAAACUUUUCUUUUUUUCCCUCUUUUUGGGGGUAUUUUUUUUUUAUUGAAGUAUAGUAAACAUACAAUGUUAUAUUGUUUUUAGGUGUCCACUAUACUCGUUUGACAAUCCUACGCAUUAUCCAGUGCUCACCAUGCUAAGUGUUGUCACCAUCUGUCAUCAUAAAGCAAUAUUACAAUAUUAUUGACUAUAUUCUCUAUGCUGUCCUUUUCAUUUCUGUGUCUUACUUAUUUUAUAACUGGAAGUUUGUACCUUUUAAUCCCCUUCACCCGUUUCACCCAUUCCCUGACCCACCUCCCUCUGGCAACCACGUUUGUUCUCUGUAUUUAAGAGCCUGUUUGUUUUGUUUGUUUGUUUAUUUUGUUUUUUAGAUUCCCCAUAAUGAAAUCUAUUAAUCUUAAUAUGAGUGAAAUCUUAUUAAUCUUAAAACUUCUAAAACUAUUUUUUUUUUAAAUUUUGUUUACUGUUUAUUUUUGAGAGAGAGAGAGAGAGAGGCAUAGAGCACGAGCAGGGGUGGGGAGAGAAAGGGGGACACAGAGUCCAAAGCAGGCUCCGGGCUCCAAGCUGUCCGCACAGAGCCCAACGUGGGGCUCAAACUCAGGAACUGUGAGAUCAUGCCCUGAGCCAAAGUCAGACACUCAACUGAGUCACCCAGGUGCCCCAAAAACUAUUUUAUUAUAUAAAAAGGUGACUUUUACUUACAACAUUGUUAGAAAAGUAGUUUUAUACUUUCAAAUGCAAAUUACUAUUUUCAAAAUUAAAAAAAAUUGAGUUGGGAAUAUAUAGUACAAAACUCAAAAGGUUAAAAAUGACACUUGGAGAAAUGUAAGUUCUUCUCCUCCCUUUUUUUUUCCAGAUCCCCUGUUCUCUUCUAAGAGUCAACAACUGUUAUUAGCUUCUUGUGCUUUCCUUAAGAGGUGAUCUACAAAGAACUAAUUACUAAGAAUUUGUAAGGUCAUUUUGGUCUCAAUAUCCUGGUCUUGGAUUGUAAAGUUGUCUAAACUGGUUUUUAGAAUGAUAGUUGAGGUCAAAUGACAUCAGCAGUAAUCUUUUUCAUGAUGCAAAAAUCCUUUGCACCCAUUAGAGAAACUUAAACUUGGGUAAGAUGUGGAAGGGAAGGGGAGAGAGG